GGUCAACUGGUGUAGUGGUCAUCACGUCUGUCUUACAAUUUCACUGUAUAGUGUAUUGUGAGGACACAGAAGGUCGCAGGUUCGAUCCCUGCGUUGAUCA